UAAGGAAUAUUGCUCAAUGGGAGAAAUCCUGAAGCAGCAACGCCGCGUGGAGGAUGAAGGGUCUAUGACUUGUAAACUCCUGUAAAGAAGGAAAAAAUUCCCAUUUGAUGGGAGAUGAUGGUACUUCUGGAGUAAGCCCCGGCUAACUACGUGCCAGCAGCCGCGGUAAUACGUAGGGGGCAAGCGUUGUCCGGAUUUACUGGGUGUAAAGGGUGCUCAGGCGGAUUUGUAAGUCAGAGGUGAAAUCUUACAGCUUAACUGUGAAACUGCCUUUGAUACUGCAAGGCUAGAGUAUGGAAGAGAGUGAUGGAAUAUCUGGUGUAGCAGUGAAAUGCGUAGAUAUCAGAUAGAACACCAAUGGCGAAGGCAGUCACUUGGUCCAUUACUGACGCUAAAGCACGAAAGCGUGGGUAGCAAACA
rnacentral:rRNA from 1 species